rnacentral:rRNA from 1 species
GACGAACGCUGGCGGCGUGCUUAACACAUGCAAGUCGAACGAUGAAGUUAUGACGGAGGCUUCGGCCGACAGAAUAACGGAAUAGUGGCGGACGGGUGAGUAACGCGUGAGUAACCUGCCUUUCAGAGAGGAAUAACAUUUGGAAACGAAUGGUAAUACCACAUAACAUUACGUUCUCGCAUGGGGAUGUAAUCAAAGAUUUUAUCGCUGAGAGAUGGACUCGCGUCCGAUUAGCUAGAUGGUGAGGUAACGGCCCACCAUGGCGACGAUCGGUAGCCGGACUGAGAGGUUGAACGGCCACAUUGGGACUGAGACACGGCCCAGACUCCUACGGGAGACAGCAGUUAGGAAUAUUCGUCAAUGGGGAAACCCUGAACGAGCAAUGCCGCGUGAGUGAUGAAGGUCUUUGGAUUGUAAAAACUCUGUUGUAUGGAAAAAAUGG